GACGAACGCUGGCGGCGUGCCUAAUACAUGCAAGUAGAACGCUGAAGGAGGAGCUUGCUUCUCUGGAUGAGUUGCGAACGGGUGAGUAACGCGUAGGUAACCUGCCUGGUAGCGGGGGAUAACUAUUGGAAACGAUAGCUAAUACCGCAUAAUAGUAGAUGUUGCAUGACAUUUGCUUAAAAGGUGCAAUUGCAUCACUACCAGAUGGACCUGCGUUGUAUUAGCUAGUUGGUGGGGUAACGGCUCACCAAGGCGACGAUACAUAGCCGACCUGAGAGGGGGAUCGGCCACACUGGGACUGAGACACGGCCCAGACUCCUACGGGAGGCAGCAGUAGGGAAUCUUCGGCAAUGGACGGAAGUCUGACCGAGCAACGCCGCGUGAGUGAAGAAGGGUUUCGGAUCGUAAAGCUCUGUUGUAAGAGAAGAACGAGUGUGAGAGUGGAAAGUUCACACUGUGACGGUAGCUUACCAGAAAGGGACGGCUAACUACGUG
rnacentral:rRNA from 1 species